rnacentral:rRNA from 1 species
GGGGAAUUGUUCGCAAUGGGCGCAAGCCUGACGACGCAACGCCGCGUGGAGGAUGAAGAUCUUCGGGUCGUAAACUCCUGUCGAGCGGGAAGAACACCUUCCGGGUGAACAAUCCGGGAGGCUGACGGUACCGCUAAAGGAAGCCCCGGCUAACUCCGUGCCAGCAGCCGCGGUAAUACGGGGGGGGGCAAGCGUUGUUCGGAAUUACUGGGCGUAAAGGGCUCGUAGGCGGCCAACUAAGUCAGACGUGAAAUCCCCAGGCUCAACCUGGGAACUGCGUCUGAUACUGGAUGGCUUGAAUCCGGGAGAGGGAUGCAGAAUUCCAGGUGUAGCGGUGAAAUGCGUAGAUAUCUGGAGGAAUACCGGUGGCGAAGGCGGCAUCCUGGACCGGCAUUGACGCUGAGGAGCGAAAGCCAGGGGAGCAAAC